rnacentral:lncRNA from 1 species
CAUGAAGCUGUCUGAGCGGCUGGAGGACUCCACCGACCGGUUCCGGCUGGCCGAGUCGUGCGUGGGCCUGGCGGGCUGCCUGUGUGUGUGCUACGCCGUGUGGACCCCCUGCUGGCUCGCAGGGGGGGGGGCUGUGGAUGGAGCAGAACCACACCGGACAGCCCCAGACGGAGGAGGCGAGCGCGGAGGGCCUCCUCUUCAGGGCCCAGGAGGCACAACAAGUGUUCGGUUUUCUGUCCUCCCUGAUGGCCGUGAGCUCGGCGGUGCUGUGCCUCGUGUUCGCCCUCUGCUGGUCAUCGCGGACGGUGCACUCCUACUCCAACACCCGGUCUCUGCUCAUGGCGGGGCAGACCCUCUACCCCACCACCCUGCUGCUCCUCACUCUGGUCCCCACAGGCUUCUUCUUCCUCCUCAGCUGGGCGCUCUUCACCCGUCAGUACCAAGAGGAGAUUCAGCACGACCUCUCGGCCCUGGGCUCCUCCUAUUGGCUGGGCGCGCUGGGCUGGGCCCUCCUAUUGGUCGUCCAGCCAGUGGUCUUCCUGGUGGAGCAGGUCGUCGUGCCGGACCCCCUGCCCGACCUGUUGAGGUGCGUCCUGUCCCCGCAGAACGCCGCCCCCGUCUCCCGCAGCCACUCAGAACCGUCGACCGACGCCAGGAGGGCGGGGCACUUCAAGCCCAGGAGGGUGGUGUCAGUAGCCUGAAAGUGGUGUAACCACGACGACGGAGGAAUGAUUGGCCCGGGACGAGUUAGACCCAUCACCUCAUCUUCAUUUACGGGAUUUUUAUCAGACGCUUUUAUCCAAAGCGCCUUACAACGGUCCAUGCAAACAUUCACACACCAACGACGCAUGGCGACAGCCAGCUCUUUGGGAGCAGUCAGGAUGAGGCGUCUUGGCUGCUCAGGGAAACCUCGACACCCAGCUAGGAGGAGCCGGGGGGCUGAACUAGCAACCUUUCCGGUUACCAGUCAACCCGCUCCACCUCCUGAGCUACUGCCGCUACUGGUUUGACCAAUCGACUCGCAGAUUAGCUGACCACCAGCAGGACGUGUGUGACGCACUGGAGAUUAUCUUGCGGGUGAGCCUGGGUACAGUGCUGGCAGAACAGCACAACAGGGUUUGAGAGGGGUUUUUGAUUCGAAUAUGAGAAGGCCGGUGCUUUGUUGCUAGGUGACGGGAGGAGAGUGAUCAGUGCUAAUACACAGCUGCUCCCAGGGUGGGCUGGAGUCACACUCGGCAACAAUCCAUCCAAAUCAGACGCACAGGACGAAUCCCGGAACGCCGCGGAGGCGGCGACAAAGAGGAACGUUUUUCACAAGAGAGGUGGUUUUUAAUGAGCGACAGUUUGCGGGGUCGCAGCAUGUAAAACGUUACCGGGAUUGUCAGGAAAAUGGCUCGUUUUUACCCAAGUAUUCCUCAUUAAUGAAUGAACACGGUGUCGCGUCAUCCCGGACAUUUCACACCGUUUCCAGCAAGUCCUUAAUGAGCUUUGGAACCUUGCUCUGCUCACGAUACCCGGUGCUCUCAGAGUGGGCAUGGGUGCGUGUCUGGUAUGGGACAUACACACUUAACUGGCCUGCAUUUUCGAUCAAGUGGCCCCUCAAAGAGCUUUACAAUAUUGCCUCACAUUCACCCAUUCAUACACACAUGUACACACCGAUGGUGGAGUCAACCACGCAAGGCGACAGCCAGCUCGUCCGGGGCCGUCAAAGGGGAGGUGCCUUGCUCAGGGACACCUCGACACGCGAGGAGAAACCCGGGAUCGAGCCAGCAACCUUCCGGUUACCAUCCAACCCGCUCUGCCUCCUGAGCCAAAUGCCGCCCCCAACCACUUCAGGGUGCAUCUGUGACAGCAGACGCUGAUUUGUAAUAUCAAUAGGGAUGGAAGUCAUACUGCAAGGGGCCGCAUGAUGAGCCCAUUGGAAACAUAAAGUGUAUUGGUUCGUUUCAAAGAUUUGUGCGUCUUCUUUACACUCACACACACACAUACACACACUGGACCUCUCUUUAAUCAAUGCUCAUCAAUAGUGAUUCCAAUAAUGUUAGCGGUAAUAUACAUCCUAUAAGUGAUAUAAAUAUACAUUUAUUCACAUGCAUAUCUAUACCAUUCAUAUAUAUAUAUAUAUAUAUACACCUCUCUCUUAGUUUACAAGAAUUGUGCUAUCGCUACUCUCAAACCCCUCGGAUUCAGCCAGCCAGCCAGCCGAGCUACACUAGCUGGUUUCACAGUCAUUCAAGGCGGACAACACUCUUGUUAUUGAGUUCCUUUGAUCUGGAAGUCUCCCGCAUGCUGACUGGCAGGGGGUCAAUCUUACACAUUGUGACUUCUAAUAUCUCUGUCUGCUUUGAGGCAAUCGGACUCCCAGUGUUUGCUCGCCCCCUAAACGGUGCUCUACACGCUACAAACUCUGCACACUCUGACUGUUAAUUGGGCGAUAAUUAGGUGUUGCUCUAAUUAAAAGGCAGUUCCACCCGGUUGGAUCCUGCUAAUGAGUUUACUAUUAAAUCCACUGAGGAUUUUCAGUCU